rnacentral:rRNA from 1 species
UACGUAGGUGGCAAGCGUUGUCCGGAUUUACUGGGCGUAAAGAGCGCGCAGGCGGUCAGAUAAGUCGAAUGUGAAAGCCCCCGGCUCAACUGGGGAGGGUCAUUCGAUACUGUUCGACUCGAAGGCAGGAGAGGGAAGUGGAAUUCCCGGCGUAGUGGUGAAAUGCGUAGAUAUCGGGAGGAACACCAGUGGCGAAGGCGACUUCCUGGCCUGUUCUUGACGCUGAGGCGCGAAAGCUAGGGGAGCAAACGGG